rnacentral:ribozyme from 1 species
AGUGCCCCCUACGUCAACAAGGUCCUCGCAGCUGGCUCCCCCGCCGACGGUCGCCUCUACACGGUGCA